GGGGGUGUAUUGGUUUCGACUGGCGGCAGAUCAUGCUAGUAGUUGCAAGCGGAGCGCCAACUCCUAAAACUAGCAAAACAAAUAACUGCAAAGAAAGAAGACAAUGUCUCUUACGACGCAGAAUACGCUCUUGCUGCUUAAGUAGUAGGAACGUACAGGUGUUAAUAGUGCCGCUCUUAACUAUUAAAUACUUGUAACAAUAAGGGCUCACCUUCAUAUGUACUAGCGGUAUGAAGGGACAAUACAGUUAGUGUAGAGAGAGCAACGUCGGUUGUUGGUCAUAGUUCUCUCGAAAUAAUAAAACAAUAACUAAGCUUGUAGAGGCUACUAGGUGGCACGUUAGGACGGGGGUUCGACUCCCCCCACCUCCACUA
rnacentral:tmRNA from 1 species